GAUGAACGCUGGCGGCGUGCCUAAUACAUGCAAGUCGAGCGAACGGACGAGAAGCUUGCUUCUCUGAUGUUAGCGGCGGACGGGUGAGUAACACGUGGAUAACCUACCUAUAAGACUGGGAUAACUUCGGGAAACCGUAGCUAAUACCGGAUAAUAUUUUGAACCGCAUGGGUCAAAAGUGAAAGACGGUCUUGCUGUCACUUAUAGAUGGAUCCGCGCUGCAUUGGCUAGUUGGUAAGGUAACGGCUUACCAAGGCAACGAUGCAUAGCCGACCUGAGAGGGUGAUCGGCCACACUGGAACUGAGACACGGUCCAGACUCCUACGGGAGGCAGCAGUAGGGAAUCUUCCGCAAUGGGCGAAAGCCUGACGGAGCAACGCCGCGUGAGUGAUGAAGGCCUUCGGAUCGUAAAACUCUGUUAUUAGGGAAGAACAUAUGUGUAAGUAACUGUGCACAUCUUGACGGUACCUAAUCAGAAAGCCACGGCUAACUACGUG
rnacentral:rRNA from 1 species